CCUCAUCAUCUCAUAUCACAAACCGCGGCACCGUAUACCAUUCUUUCUAUUUCACAUCUCAAACCACAUUUCCAUUUCUGCCGAAGUGCAAUCUUUUCCCUCUACACAUAUACUCAACCUCCUCCACCCACGAAUCAUCUUCACUUCACCCCACCUCGUGACCAUCGAAGGAAAGGAGAGUGAGAGGGACGUAGCUUCGGUAUCAUCGACAAGAAAAGAAAAGGAGGAAAACCGCGAGCUGAAGUAUUUUUCUGGUUUUGUCCGUGAGCUGAAGAAAAAAAAAAAGGAAGAAGUCGUGCGUGAGUUCUCUUCAUUUUCUCUUCAACCUUCAUCAGCUGCAACCAUCUUCCAAUCACGACACCACUGCAGCUGCAACAACCAUUACAGUUCAGACCAACCAAACCCAGAAGCCGUGCGCGAGCCGAGAGCCGAGAGAGGGGAAGUCUCCAGCACUUUGACGUGUGAGUGAGCCUUCAGUGAGGUAAAUUUUCUGGACUGAAAAUGGUUGAUCAGAGGUUGAAUAAGCAAGCUUUGGACUUCCAUGUGAGGUUUAUAUGUUCGGAUGAUGAAUUGAGGAAGAAAAGGAAAAUCUGUUUGGAGGAAAUGAUUUCUGCCGUGAGCUUGAGAUGAAAAAUGCAGUUGUAACCUGCUUAAUUUCGACAAUCUGAGCACCCAAGAGCAACCGAGGAGAUCUCCAAGAGGAACUCGGAGCGGACUCCUAAAACGCUUGUUUGAGACCUAUUGCGCUUGUUUGACUAGGUGAGUGUUCCAUAUAGGAAUAUGUAAUGGAAUAAGUCUAGGACAUGCUCAUUUCAUGAUUUCUAAGUGUUAAGUACUAUGUGUUAAAUAUUUACCAUACCAUGCUUGAAAAUGCUCGAAUAACAUGACUUGGUAUGCUAUAGUUGCAUACGUCGUUGGAGUGAAUCUCCUCGACUCUCACAUGGUAAAAAUGGGAUAAUGGCCAAUGAUGGCCUAUUAAUAUGGCAAAUGCCUGCCAAAUAACCGUCAUUACUCAACCGUCAACCGUUAACCGUUAACCGUUAACCGUUAACCGUUAACCGUGAACCGUUUACCAACCCAUAUGACUACUUGAUUACCUGACUAUUUGCUCACAUGAUUUCUAAUCGAUAUGAUUAUUCGAUAUCCGUGAAUUACAAGCUCUCAUGAACUCAACUUGUAUUGCUUACGUGCUUACGUGCUAAGUAUCCACUUGAUUACUUGAUUAUCAUGAAUCACAUGUUAUAUGAAGUUGUCCAUCAUUGUUAGGCGAGUGUGUACUUUACCUCCCUCGACCUAUUCAAAUGAUGAAUUUUACUUUUUGUCGUAUUACUUGGUUACCUGUGCACGUUGUAAGCUAUACGCUGAACUUGGGCCCUGCCUCGGUUACUGACCUACUCGAGCCAGGACUGGGCUCGGUCGGGUAGGUUGGAACCCUGGACAACCGUUUCGGUAUACUCGAGUAUUACCACUGGAGGGAUAAGGUGAUGGCUAGUCAACCGUGGAGAUCCGGGAGUUAUAAGGUGCAGAUGACCGACAAAGUUCCACUAGAACACCGUAUCCUUUCGUGCUUGCGUUACUAUUAAUAAUAAUAUUGCUCUCCUAGUUGGCAUUCGCGGGUAAGACUCCUCAUGAACAUUAACCUCUGAGAUGAAGCAAUCCUUGUAAUGUUCUUCUAGUCGGACGAGCCACUAUUUGUUUGACUGAAAAUUUAUGAAAAUAUAUUUAUAUGGCCAUUCAUUCCAAAAGUACUAGUUCUACAUGUGUUUUCAAAGUAACAAUUACCCGUGUAAUGAUUAUCACCUCAUGGUAACAUGCCAUUGUGUAACCUCGAAUCAUGCAUAUGAUAUGCACAACUUACUUGACCUAUUUGAACUGUUAGAGCGUCUUGGAACCUCACUGGGCUGUGUAGCUCAUCCCACGUUGUGGUUUUCUUUUACAGGUUCUGACAACUGAGGAAGACUUGAGAUCUACUUGUACUUUAAGCAUGUAGUUUGAAUUAAACAAUGUAGCUGUCUCAAAUGUGCUCGGAAGUAGUACUAGAUUGUUUACUUUCAUGAAUAUAAUUCGAGUUAAACAUUGUAGUUUUGCCUUAGGUUGCCACUUGAAGCUGGAAAAGUGUAAACCCUGGAUUUGUAUGUGGCUGGUAUAAAUUUGUUACUUGGCUUGUAUGGAUGUAUUUGAAUUGAUGUUUUGUUUCUUGGGUUGUAUUCGGGAAGGUAUUUUAAGAAUCGACGUUGGCUAUCUUAGGCACUGUUAUCUCUGAAGUUAAUGUGAUUUUAGAAACCGGCCUAUUUGGAGGGAAACGAUGUUGUAAUAGAUUAGGUUAUACUUCGGAAGGAUUUUUGCUAGCUUGCUUGCGUGAGUCCUGGCGAGAGUUAGGCAGACGGCCCGCCAACCCUCUGGUUCGCCUUAGGGGGAAGUGGGGUCGUCACAGGAGGUAUUAGAUUAGCUUUUGCUUUUGAGUGUCAGGGGUUUUUUCCUUUUGUUUUCUUUGGUAGCAAAUAGGAAGAGCCAGAAUCACGUAGGCUUAGGAGAGGAUUUCUUUGAUUCUUCCCUGUAGCCGUUUUUGACUUGCGGCUUCCAUUCUGUACAAUUAUUCCAUUAGCUUUUAGCCUUUUUCUGGACUUUGCUCGAAGACAAACGCAAGAACAAGAAAAGAAAUUCAGGGAUUUUCUCUUUCGUUACUUCAUUAAUUCAUCUUUCCCAAUUCCUUAGCAAUUAAUUCUUUGGCAAUUGCGUGGAUGAAAUCAAUCAACCCACGCAUGAUUGAUACGAUGAGGUGCGGCUAAAUCUCUACCCUACCCAAAGGUCGACGCGAAGGUGCGGUCCAUAAUAUCUGUGUGAUCUAAUCGAAUCUUCAUUAUUUCUUCCAUUUUAUUGCUAUUCGUGCGUUUCCUGAAUUAAUUGUUCGUGGAUAUUUUAUUAAUUGAAUAUCAACGGCCGGGUAUUUGAUUUAAUUUAAUAGCCUACUGUCACAUUGACUAAAUUGAAUCCGUAAUUGUUCAUUUAGUUGAUACCUAGUGGCGACCACCAUGUUGGGGAAACGUAAGAUCUAACUUAAAUAAACUCUCUUAGCGUGUUUAUUGGUUAGGGUUGGGUUCUUCUAGCUUUAAUGCAAUUGGGUAAUUAAAUUCCUACGGUCGUACCUAGGGUUGUUAUCUGGUUAGGGAAGCAGUCAAUGGUCGUACCUUAACUGUCGAAAAGGUAAGGAAGAAUUGGUUGUCAGAGCUUAUUGAUAACUAUAACCAAUCUAAUAACGAAUGGAUAAAAUAUCUGUGCAUCGAUGAUCAUUUAAUUGGACCGUGCCUGAACAGUUAAUCCUUUGGGUAGAACUUUUAUUAAUUGCUAUUUUUAGUAAAUUGUGCUUUGUGAAUUAGUUUUGAAUUUUGUUGGUUUUAUUUUUAUUUUUAUUUUCCUCCCAUCAAAAACCCCCCAUACUCUGAACUCUAGAAGAAACGAAUUAUUCCCAGUCCCUGUGGAUUCGACCCUACUCACUGCUAUAUACAAAAUUUGUAAUUUUCUUGAGUAGGUAUUUAUUAUUGCAUAGGUUCGACACCUGUCAAACUCCAUUCGUGAUGCUUUUCUGCCCAUACACCUCAUUACUGCUCUAAGCUGAAUGUUUUGCUAAAAACAGUAUGAGCAGGGGCAGGGGGAGCAAAGAUAUGUUUUCACUGGGGACAAAGCUAAUCUAAUGUAUAUUUAUGUGUUUAUACACAUUUUAUCGAUAACAAAAUAGAAAAGUUUAAUAAUGAAAUACUUGUAGGAAAAUGAAAUGUAUUAAUCAAUUGAGAUGCACUAAACAUGUAUGAUCUUCACAAAAAGUAAAAGUUAAAUAGCUACUUGUAGAAUCUGAUAUUGAUAAGUAAUUUUGUUCCAAGUAUUUUUUUUUUGUUUUAUUUUUGGUCUAUGAAUUGACUGGAGAAAACGAAGUACAUCAGAGAUAAAAGAAUAGAAAAGACAUUUUAUGCUGGGGGAGGUAAUAAAAGUUGCAUUACACCAUGGUCUAGUUUUCUUGAUUUGAAGUCAUUUGGCUGUUACUUGUGUCAAUCUUCAGAUUCUUAAGAGAAAGCAUAAAAGUAACUAACUCAGAAAACUGUCUUGUAUCAUCAUCUCAGAACAAUAGUUUGAUUCUCACCAUGUCCAUACUCUCUUCCCGCUUCUGUUACCCCAAUCCCCUCCCCUUCUGGAAAACAAAUUAAAUGACAUUGUAAAAGAAGGAAACAGUUUUAAUCCACCAAGCUCAUAACUUCUAAGAACUAUAAUGAGAAACUUCUUUUCGGGUUUUCUUUUGCAAUACAAACUCAGAUCAAAUGCAUUCGCUGGCUGCACUUUUAAUCACUGGCAGGGAUUUUUAUGUACUUUUUAAGUUAUCAAACAGCCAACAAAGUACGUGUAACAGGGGGAUGCUAAGUAGAUCAGUAAACCUUCAAAUAUUUUACGUCACAAAAGUAGGUGAACCUGAUAUAUUCAGCAAUUUAAAAUGCAAUUCUAGGAGAAACAAACAAAGGAAAGAUAUAAUUGGAACAGUGAAGAAAUGACCUUCCUAUUAAUCUACUUGUGUGUGCUGCUCUCCUUCAAGGACUUGGUAGGCGGGGCAAGUUAAAAUCUAGAACUUUUUGAGUGUUUUUUGAGGUAAGGGUCAUCAUUUGAUUGACCUCAAGCGAGAGAUGCAGGUUUAAUGUAUAGCAACUACCUUACACAAAAGUAAUCCCAAGGUAAUAAUCACCUUCUUAUAUUUUAAGUUCCCCAUAAUACUUUAAACCGUAGUAUGAUCUUCCCCAUUUACCCAUUCUUAAUUUGUGUCACUGGUAUUCUUUGACUACGUCAAUCUAUCUCAGUUAAAUCUUCUAUUCCUAAGAUAAUUUAGAGGGUUAAUGAUUCAACCUAAACCAGUAAACCUCUUAAAAUUUAAUAAAUUGGAUUAUUUUCAAUUCAAAAUGAUUUGUUAUAGAUUCUUGGAUCCUGUAUGGGGAUUAAGACCCUUCAGAUUAAGGCUUAGCUGACACUGUAAUUGAAUAGUCUUAGAAUCUUAGGUUAUUUUCAACAUUUUUGGUCCAGUUACUUUCCGUAGCUUUGUCAGCUAUAGCCAUCUUACAGAAUUAUCUGUAGUUGGUAGGUUUUUGCUGCUCUAGACAACAUUUUUCACAGUACAUUUUGAUGACAUUCUACCCGAUAUCAGCUAUUAUGUGAAGGCUUCAUGAUAGGCACUGAAAGCUUUUAGCUGUAACUAAUCUUGAAGAAACACUAAACUAACAAAGAGCAGCGAUCACAUGUCCUAGCUUUCACAAACGUUGGAUUCUGAGAAGGUUCAUACCUUUAUCUGAAACUCAAAUCUGUAUUUUGUUGACUUUUUUCCGUUUGUUUGUUUUUCUGUUUAAUUUUGCUUUGACCAUCAGGAGUUGAAAAGAAAGAGAUCCACUUGCAAUUCAGAAAAGACCUAGAUAGUGUACGAACUAAAACAUUGAAGCUCUUUAGUCUUUAUCAGAGCUACUAAAGUGAUUCAUUUGGAUUUGGGGUGGUGGUUUAAAACCAGAAAGGUGGUUUUGUCCAUUCAAGAGUUCAAAUAUACAUCGUCAUGAAUAAUGGCUUCGCUCAUCAUUUGCAAAGUAAUCUGCACAGAGUUGAUCACAUUCCUAGUUGAGGGGAGGACACAAAUACUCCUCUGUUCUGAAAGUGCAGGUUUACAGAAUGAAUGACCAAAUCAUUUCCUACUGAAACAACUACUAAGUAUUCAAAAGAAAGAAGUUGAAGUAAAAGAGAAAUGAUGCAAAUUUAACAUAACGUACUCUGUGAAUAUGUGAAAUAACAUGUGCAGAAUACAGGCACCGUAGUCACAAGUCUACUCUCUGGUACCAGCUACUCCACACUUUCCAUGGUGUUCUGCAGUAUUAAUUAACGCUGGGCGGCUGUUGAACCCAUAAAGAGUUUACAGCAUUGUUUUCCUUGGAAUCCAUGUAAGUUGCAUUGUAAUUGGCAGCGUUGGCACUAUUGGAGGAGUAAGUGGGGUGUGAUCCAAUGGGCAGUGCAGAUACGGUAUUGUCAUAAUUUUGAGGAGCAUCCUGGUGAAAAAGCGACAGGGCAUUGCUUGGAGUUGCCAUUCCCAAUUGCAAUUGCGAUAUAGAAUCACUCAAUCCAGUUGACACCUCUUGUUGCUGAUGUUGUCGAUAGAAAGCCAAUUGUGCAUGAAUAGCUUGAAGUUCCUCCUCGGCUAGUUGAAUUUGGUACCACAAUUGUUGUAUGAUUCCUAAACAUCCGUGGACAGGAUACUUAUCGCGUAUAUUUGCUUGAUAGAUGAUGGACUUCAUGGCAACCAACUUCUGGCUGGGGUCUAGCUGUCUCAGAACCUUCAAGAUGUUGCUCACGCCAAAAAGCUUGUGAGCAUUCUGGAACAUCUUAGGCUGAUCAGCCGGGAAGUAUGGUGCGAGUGGACAGUCAGCCGUGCACCUCCUCCUCUGAUACUUGCAGGCAGCGCAGGCUUGGCUGGUGCCACCUUUGAGGGUCAUCUCAAAGAAAUGUGUGACAAAAAUAAAAGAGUAUUCAUGUAAAAAAUAUUGGAGGUGGACUGAGCCAAAAGAGAUGGCAAAAAAAAAAAAGGAAAGGGAUUGCUCUACUUAGAUAAGAUAAGGAGUGUUAGUGCUGGUGUUCAAAGGAAGGAAGACAGAAGCCAAAUGGCAACAUUGAUCUCAACUGAACUAGUCUGCUGAUAUAUGCGGAUUUUGCUGCAAGACUUGGUAAGAUAACAGAUUGAGAGAGGGGGAACCGAAAAUGCUGGGGAUGUUUCUUUCAACUGCAUGACCGUUAGGGGAAAACGUUUUGUUAUGUAGUUUUGAGUACAUUCCUAAUUCUGAGGAGACUCCUAAUACUUUGGGCCACAGCUAUAUCACAGUAGACAGACGCUUCUAUUAUUAUUAUCUCAGCUUGCACCACA